UACGAAGGGGGCUAGCGUUGCUCGGAAUCACUGGGCGUAAAGGGUGCGUAGGCGGGUCUUUUAAGUCAGGGGUGAAAUCCUGGAGCUCAACUCCAGAACUGCCUUUGAUACUGAAGAUCUUGAGUUCGGGAGAGGUGAGUGGAACUGCGAGUGUAGAGGUGAAAUUCGUAGAUAUUCGCAAGAACACCAGUGGCGAAGGCGGCUCUCUGGGACGGUACUGACGCUGAGGCGCGAAAGCCAGGGGAGCGAACGGG
rnacentral:rRNA from 1 species